AUACGGAGGAUGCAAGCGUUAUCCGGAUUUAUUGGGUUUAAAGGGUGCGUAGGCGGUUUGCUAAGCGGGAGGUGAAAUGCCGGCGCUCAACGUCGGAAGUGCCUCCCGAACUGGUGGACUGGAAUGACUCUGCCGUGGGAGGAAUGUGUAGUGUAGCGGUGAAAUGCUUAGAGAUUACACAGAACACCGAUUGCGAAGGCAUCUCACGAAUCCGUCAUUGACGCUGAGGCUCGAAAGCGUGGGGAUCAAACAGGAUUAGAUACCCUGGUAGUCCACGCAGUAAACGAUUAUGACUAACCGUCGGCGAUACACAGUCGGUGGCCAAGCGAAAGCGAUAAGUCAUCCCCCUGGGGAGUACGUUCGCAAGAAUGAAACUCAAAGGAAUUGACGGGG
rnacentral:rRNA from 1 species